rnacentral:rRNA from 1 species
CAAGUCGAACGCGAAAGUUUCCUUCGGGGAGCGAGUAGAGUGGCGCACGGGUGAGUAACACGUAGGUAAUCUACCUUUGGAUUGGGAAUAACAACCGGAAACGGUUGCUAAUACCGAAUAAUGCAGCGGCACCUAAUGGUGACAGUUGUUAAAGCGGGGGAUCGAAAGACCUCGCGUCUAAAGAGGAGCCUGCGGCGGAUUAGCUAGUUGGUAAGGUAAUGGCUUACCAAGGCGAUGAUCCGUAGCCGGCCUGAGAGGGCGGUCGGCCACACUGACACUGACAUACGGGUCAGACUCCUACGGGAGGCAGCAGUCGGGAAUUUUGGGCAAUGGGCGAAAGCCUGACCCAGCAACGCCGCGUGAAGGAUGAAAUCCUUCGGGAUGUAAACUUCGCAAGAACGGGAAGAAUAAGUAAGAGCUAACAUCUCUUAUGAUGACGGUACUGUUUGUAAGCUCCGGCUAACUCCGUGCCAGCAGCCGCGGUAAUACGGGGGGAGCAAGCGUUGUACGGAUUUACUGGGCGUAAAGGGCGCGUAGGCGGCCACUGCAAGUCAGUUGUGAAAUCUCCGGGCUUAACCCGGAAAGGUCAACUGAUACUGCAGGGCUAGAGUGCAGAAGGGGCAACUGGAAUUCUCGGUGUAGCGGUGAAAUGCAUAGAUAUCGAGAGGAACACCUGCGGCGAAGGCGGGUUGCUGGGCUGACACUGACGCUGAUGUGCGAAAGCUAGGGGAGCGAACGGGAUUAGAUACCCCGGUAGUCCUAGCCUUAAACGAUGAAUGCUUGGUGUCUGGGGUUUUAUAGUCCCCGGGUGCCGUCGCUAACGCUUUAAGCAUUCCGCCUGGGGAGUACGGUCGCAAGACUGAAACUCAAAGGAAUUGACGGGGACCCGCACAAGCGGUGGAGCAUGUGGUUUAAUUCGACGCAACGCGAAGAACCUUACCUGGGCUAGAAUGCCUCUGACCGCC